GUGGGGAAUAUUCCGCAAUGGACGAAAGUCUGACGGAGCAACGCCGCGUGGAGGAUGACGGCCUUCGGGUUGUAAACUCCUUUUGUCAGGGACAAUGGUGAUGGUACCUGACGAAUAAGCCACGGCUAACUCUGUGCCAGCAGCCGCGGUAAGACAGAGGUGGCGAGCGUUGUUCGGAAUUACUGGGCUUAAAGGGCGCGUAGGCGGUGGUGUAAGUCUGGGGUGGAAUGCUACAGCUCAACUGUAGAGCUGCCUUGGAAACUGCAUUACUUGAGUCGGUGAGGGGAAGGCGGAAUUCCUGGUGUAGCGGUGAAAUGCGUAGAUAUCAGGAGGAAGGUCUGUGGCGAAGGCGGCCUUCUGGCACUUGACUGACGCUGAGGCGCGAAAGCGUGGGGAGCAAACAGGAUUAGAUACCCUUGUAGUCC
rnacentral:rRNA from 1 species